UAGACUUACAAUAUGAAAUGUGAACGGGCCUCUCACGGGCAUAGAGAGAGACAAUAGCCGAGUGGAAGUGGAGAAGGCCCUACGGGUUGUGAACUUCUUUUCCUGGAGAAGAAACAGUGACGGCCUCUGGAGAAUAAGCAUGGUCUAACUCUGUGCCAACACGCGGGGUAAUACAGAGGAUGCAAGCGUUAUCCGGAAUGAGUGGGCGUAAAGCGUCUGUAGGAGGCUUUUUAAGUCCGGCGAAAAAUCCCAGGUCUCAACCCUGGACAGGCGGUGGAAUCUACCAAGCUAGAGUACGGGAGGGGCAGAGGGUAUUUCCGGUGGAGCGGAGAAAUGCGCAUAGAUCGAAAAGAACACCAACGGAGAAAGCACUAUGGUGUCCCUACACUGACACUGAUAGACGAAAGCUAGGGGAGCAUAUGGGAUUAUAUACCCCAGAAGUACUAGCCGAAAACGAUGUAUACUACGCGCUGUGCGUAUCGACCCGUGCAGAGCUGUAGCUAACGCGUUAAGUAUCCCGCCUGGGGAGUACGUUCGCAAGAAUGAAACU
rnacentral:rRNA from 1 species